rnacentral:rRNA from 1 species
AUUGAACGCUGGCGGCAGGCCUAACACAUGCAAGUCGAACGCGUGGCGGACGGGUGAGUAAUGUCUGGGACACUGCCCGAUGGAGGGGGAUAAAUACUGGAAACGGUAGCGAAUACCGCGUACCAUCGGAUGUGCCCAGAUGGGAUUAGCUUGUAGGUGAGGUAACGGCUACACUAGGCGACGAUCCCUAGCUUGUCUGAGAGGAUGACCAGCCACACGGGAACUGAGACACGGGCCAGACUCCUACGGUAGGCAGCAGUGGGGAAUAUUGCAUAAUGGGUGCAAGCAUGAUGCAGCCAUGCCGCGGGUAGGAAGAAGGCCUGCGGGUUGUAAAGUACUUUCAGUGGGGAGGCGUUACCCACAGAAGAAGCACCGUCUAACUCCGUGCCAGCAGCGGCGGUAAGUC